rnacentral:tRNA from 1 species
GGCAGUGAGGUCCAGCAGAUAGGACACAUAACUGGGAGUCAGGAGAUCUGGGCUCCAUUCCCAGCUCUGCCA